rnacentral:rRNA from 1 species
UACGAAGGGGGCUAGCGUUGCUCGGAAUGACUGGGCGUAAAGGGCGCGUAGGCGGUUUGUACAGUCAGAUGUGAAAUUCCUGGGCUCAACCUGGGGGCUGCAUUUGAUACGUAUGGACUGGAGUGAGGAAGAGGGUCGUGGAAUUCCCAGUGUAGAGGUGAAAUUCGUAGAUAUUGGGAAGAACACCGGUGGCGAAGGCGGCAUCCUGGACCGAGACUGACACUGAGGAGCGAAAGCUAGGGGAGCGAAUGGG